rnacentral:rRNA from 1 species
UACGUAGGGGGCAAGCGUUAUCCGGAUUUACUGGGUGUGAAGGGGGCGCAGACGGCAGCGCAAGCCAGGAGUGAAAGCCCGGGGCCCAACCCCGGGACUGCUCUUGGAACUGCGCGGCUGGAGUGCAGGAGGGGCAGGCGGAAUUCCUGGUGUAGCAGUGAAAUGCGUAGAUAUCAGGAGGAACACCGGUGGCGAAGGCGGCCUGCUGGACUGCGACUGACGUUGAGGCCCGAAAGCGUGGGGAGCAAACAGG